UUCUUGUAAUUAAAACCAAGAGAGGCAUACAAAAAAUGAUUAAUUUUGUCCAGUAAUCUUGGCUUCAAACUGCUAGUUUGUUUAAAGAUUUGAGAGAAUAAGCAUAUCUUCAACCCUGAUGUUCAGAUACAUUUAUACUAAUAAGUGAGUGCUAUUUGCCUGAAACAUCCACAGAAUAGGACUGAUAUAAUCUUUCACUCAUUGCUUGAUGGUAUAUAUAUGUUGGCCGGCAGUUUAGCCUGGAACCUAUCUUGUUCUAGCUUAUGUUUCUCUUAUUAGAAUGCAGACUACACUAACCAUCAAAUAGCAGAUCUCUCUGAAAAACUAGAACAAGCUGAAUCUCAAGUUGGUCGCAUGGGAAGUUUCAUGAUGGGUAUGGAUCAAGACAAGAAGGAGGAAGGAAAGUUGGCAAAAACCACCAGAGACAGCUCAAAAACAUCCAUUGAGGCUAUUCAUGGUCUCAUGUCCCAAGUCAUUAAAAAUAAACUCUUCAACCAAGUUGGUGGAAAGGAGUCAACUUAAAUUCCCAGUAAACCUGGUGCUAAGAUUUUAAUGUUAUUUACUGGCCUUGAGAUUGUUAUAGAAAACCAUGAUGUAAAUGUAAAUAUGUUUGCAGAAUAAAGAGUUAAGUUUGUAGCAUA
rnacentral:lncRNA from 1 species